rnacentral:rRNA from 1 species
AGGAUGAACGCUGGCGGCGUGCUUAACACAUGCAAGUCGAGCGAGAAAUUCUAGACAGAUUCUUCGGAUGAAAUCUAGAAUGGAAAGCGGCGGACGGGUGAGUAACGCGUAGGCAACCUACCUCAUACAAAGGGAUAGCUUCUGGAAACGGAAAUUAAUACCUUAUGACACCUUCGGUUCACAUGGACAGAAGGUCAAAGAUUUAUCGGUAUGAGAUGGGUCUGCGUCUGAUUAGCUAGUUGGUAGGGUAACGGCCUACCAAGGCGACGAUCAGUAGCCGACCUGAGAGGGUGAUCGGCCACACUGGAACUGAGACACGGUCCAGACUCCUACGGGAGGCAGCAGUGGGGAAUAUUGCACAAUGGGCGCAAGCCUGAUGCAGCAACGCCGCGUGAGUGAUGAAGGCCUUAGGGUCGUAAAACUCUGUCCUAGGGGAAGAAUAAAUGACGGUACCCUAGGAGGAAGCCCCGGCUAACUACGUGCCAGCAGCCGCGGUAAUACGUAGGGGGCAAGCGUUAUCCGGAAUUAUUGGGCGUAAAGAGUACGUAGGUGGUUUUACAAGCCUUGGGUGAAAGGCUAUGGCUCAACCAUAGUAAGCCUAAGGAACUGUAAGACUUGAGUGCAGGAGAGGUAAGUGGAAUUCCUAGUGUAGCGGUGAAAUGCGUAGAUAUUAGGAGGAACACCAGUGGCGAAGGCGACUUACUGGACUGUUACUGACACUGAGGUACGAAAGCGUGGGGAGCAAACAGGAUUAGAUACCCUGGUAGUCCACGCCGUAAACGAUGAGCACUAGGUGUCGGGGUCGCGAGGCCUCGGUGCCGCAGCUAACGCAUUAAGUGCUCCGCCUGGGGAGUACGCACGCAAGUGUAAAACUCAAAGGAAUUGACGGGGACCCGCACAAGCAGCGGAGCAUGUGGUUUAAUUCGAAGCAACGCGAA